rnacentral:tRNA from 1 species
CAUUAAGAAGCUAUGGAACAGCACUAGCCUUUUAAGCUAGAAAGAGGGAGGAACCGCCUCCCCUUAAUGA